UUAGUGGCGGACGGGUGAGUAACGCGUGAGCAAUCUGCCUUACAGAGGGGGAUAACAGCUGGAAACGGCUGCUAAUACCGCAUGAUACGCACUGGGGACAUCCUCGGAGCAUCAAAGAUUUAUCGCUGUAAGAUGAGCUCGCGUCCAAUUAGAUAGUUGGCGGGGUAAUGGCCCACCAAGUCGACGAUUGGUAGCCGGACUGAGAGGUUGAACGGCCACAUUGGGACUGAGAUACGGCCCAGACUCCUACGGGAGGCAGCAGUGGGGGAUAUUGCACAAUGGGGGAAACCCUGAUGCAGCAACGCCGCGUGAAGGAAGAAGGUCUUCGGAUUGUAAACUUUUGUCUUGCGGGACGAAUAAUGACGGUACCGCAGGAGGAAGCCACGGCUAACUACGUGCCAGCAGCCGCGGUAAUACGUAGGUGGCGAGCGUUGUCCGGAAUUACUGGGUGUAAAGGGUGCGUAGGCGGAUUUGCAAGUCAGGUGUGAAAACUAUCGGCUUAACCGGUAGCCUGCACUUGAAACUGUAAGUCUUGAGUGGUGAAGAGGUAAGCGGAAUUCCUAGUGUAGCGGUGAAAUGCGUAGAUAUUAGGAGGAGCACCAGUGGCGAAGGCGGCUUACUGGGCACUAACUGACGCUGAGGCACGAAAGCAUGGGGAGCAAACAGGAUUAGAUACCCUGGUAGUCCAUGCCGUAAACGAUGAUUACUAGGUGUUAGGGGGUAUCGACCCCCCCUGUGCCGCAGUUAACACAAUAAGUAAUCCACCUGGGGAGUACGGCCGCAAGGUUGAAACUCAAAGGAAUUGACGGGGGCCCGCACAAGCAGUGGAGUAUGUGGUUUAAUUCGAAGCAACGCGAAGAACCUUACCAGGUCUUGAC
rnacentral:rRNA from 1 species